GAGGGUUCGAUCCUGGCUCAGAUUGAACGCUGGCAGGAUGCUACACAUGCAAGUCGAACGGCAGCACGGACUUCCCGGUCUGGUGGCGAGUGGCGAACGGGUGAGUAGCUGUAUCGGAACGUGCCCGUAGCGGGGGAUAACUACGCGAAAGCGUAGCUAAUACCGCAUACGCCCUUCGGGGAAAAGCGGGGGACGGGCCUCGCACUAUUAGAGCGGCCGAUAUCGGAUUAGCUAGUUGGUGGGGUAACGGCUCACCAAGGCGACGAUCCGUAGCUGGUUUGAGAGGACGACCAGCCACACUGGGACUGAGACACGGCCCAGACUCCUACGGGAGGCAGCAGUGGGGAAUUUUGGACAAUGGGGAAACCCUGAUCCAGCCAUCCCGCGUGUGCGAUGAAGGCCUUCGGGUUGUAGCACUUUUGGCAGGAAAGAAACGGCACGGGAUAAUACCCCGUGCGACGUACCUGCAGAAUAAGCACCGGCUAACUACGUGCCAACAGCCGCAGUAAUACAUGGUGCAAGCGUUAAUCGGAAUUACUGGGCGUAAAGCGCGCAGGCGGUUCGGAAGAAAGUGUGAAAUCCCAGAGCAACUUUGGAACUGCAUUUUUAACUACCGAGCUAGAGAGUGUCAGAGGGAGGUGGAAUUCCGCGUGUAGCAGUGAAAUGCGUAGAUAUGCGGAGGAGCACCGAUGGCGAGCAGCCUCCUGGGAUAACACUGACGCUCGCUUGCACGAAAGCGUGGGGAGCAAACAGGAUUAGAUACCUGGUAGUCACGCCUAAACGAUGUCAACUAGCUGUUGAGGCCUUCGGGCCUUGGUAGCCACCUUCUUGCUGGAAGAAGUUGACCGCCUGGAGAUACGGUCGCAGAUUAAAACUCAAAGGAAUUGACGGGGACCACAAGCGGUGGAUGAUGUGGAUUAAUUCGAUGCAACGCGAAAAACCUUACCUACGCAGCAUGGAAUCCCGAAGGGAUUUGGAGUGCUCGCAAAGAGAACCGGAACACAGGUGCUGCAUGGCUGUCGUCAGCUCGUGUCAUUGAAUGUUGGGUUAAGUCCACCAGUUGAGCGCAACCCUUGUCAUUAGUUACGAAGGGCACUCUAAUGAGACUGCCGGUGACAAACCGGAGGAAGGUGGGGAUGACAUCAAGUCCUCAUGGCCAUAUGGGUAGGGCUUCGUCAUACAAUGGUCGGGACGGAGGGGUCGCCAACCCGCGAGGGGGAGCCAAUCCCAGAAACCCGAUCGUAGUCCGGAUCGCAGUCUGCAACUCGACUGCGUGAAGUCGGAAUCGCUAGUAAUCGCGGAUCAACUGCGAAUACGUUCCCGGGUCUUGUACACACCGCCCGUCACACCAUGGGAGUGGGUUUUGCAAGAAGUAGUUAACCGUAAGGAGGGCGAUUACCACGGUAGGAUUCAUGACUGGGGUGAAGUCGUAACAAGGUAG
rnacentral:rRNA from 1 species